rnacentral:rRNA from 1 species
GACGAACGCUGGCGGCGUGCCUAAUACAUGCAAGUAGAACGCUGAAGGAGGAUCUUGCUUCUCGGGAUGAGUUGCGAACGGGUGAGUAACGCGUAUGUAACCUGCCUGGUAGCGGGGGAUAACUAUUGGAAACGAUAGCUAAUACCGCAUAAUAGUAGAUGUUGCAUGACAUUUACUUAAAAGGAGCAAUUGAAUCACUACCAGAUGGACCAGCGUUGUAUUAGCUAGUUGGUGGGGUAACGGCUCACCAAGGCGACGAUACAUAGCCGGCCUGAGAGGGGGAUCGGCCACACUGGGAAUGAGACAAGGCCCAGACUCCUACGGGAGGCAGCAGUAGGGAAUCUUCGGCCAUGGACGACAGUCUGACCGAGCAACGGCGCGUGAGUGAAGAAGGUUUUCGGAUCGUAAAGAUCUGUUGUAAGAGGAGAACGAGUGUGAGAGUGAAAAGUUCACACUGUGACGGUAUCUUACCAGAAAGGGACGGCUAACUACGUG